AAUAUUGGACAAUGGGCGAAAGCCUGAUCCAGCCAUGCCGCGUGAGUGAUGAAGGCCCUAGGGUUGUAAAGCUCUUUCACCGGUGAAGAUAAUGACGGUAACCGGAGAAGAAGCCCCGGCUAACUUCGUGCCAGCAGCCGCGGUAAUACGAAGGGGGCUAGCGUUGCUCGGAAUCACUGGGCGUAAAGCGCACGUAGGCGGCUUUUUAAGUCAGGGGUGAAAUCCUGGAGCUCAACUCCAGAACUGCCUUUGAUACUGGAGAGCUUGAGUUCGGGAGAGGUGAGUGGAACUGCGAGUGUAGAGGUGAAAUUCGUAGAUAUUCGCAAGAACACCAGUGGCGAAGGCGGCUCACUGGCCCGAUACUGACGCUGAGGUGCGAAAGCGUGGGGAGCAAACAGG
rnacentral:rRNA from 1 species